rnacentral:rRNA from 1 species
GAUGAACGCUAGCGGCAGGCUUAACACAUGCAAGUCGAGGGGUAUAGUUCUUCGGAACUAGAGAACGGCGCACGGGUGCGUAACGCGUAUGCAAUCUACCUUUUACAGGGGGAUAGCCCAGAGAAAUUUGGAUUAAUACCUCAUAGUAUGUUAGAGUGGCAUCAUUUUAACAUUAAAGUCCCAACGGUAAAAGAUGAGCAUGCGUCCCAUGGGCUAGAUGGUAAGGUAACGGCUUACCAUGGCGACGAAGGGUAGGGGUCCCGGGAGGGAGAUCCCCCACACUGGUACUGAGACACGGACCAGACUCCGACGGGAGGCAGCAGUGAGGAAUAUUGGACAAUGGGCGCAAGCCUGAUCCAGCCAUGCCGCGUGCAGGAAGACGGUCCUAUGGAUUGUAAACUGCUUUUGUACAGGAAGAAACACUCCCUCGUGAGGGAGCUUGACGGUACUGUAAGAAUAAGGAUCGGCUAACUCCGUGCCAGCAGCCGCAGUAACAC